UCCUCCUACGGAGGCCUGUCUAUGGUUCCCUAUCUUUGGAUCCGUAAGAACUGGAGGCAAAGAAAUGUGCACUGGGAGAGGUCUGGGGCCAGCGUGCUCCCUGCAGGCCCAAGGUCAACGAUCCCGUAUAG